CGUCCUGUAAUUUUCGAGUCUGUGUAGCGUGAGUGACAGUGGGUGUUGCUCGCCGAGUCUCUGGGGGAUCUCUGUAAACUGAUGGAGGACUUGGAGCGAGCCGGAGCUGGGAGCGUAGCGGGGAAAGGCUGACGGAUCUCUGUGCAAGAGUUGCAGAAAAUGAUUAACUUCCAGGGAUCAGUGACAUUCCAGGAUGUGGCUGUGGACUUCACCUCAGAGGAGUGGCAGCUGCUUGACUGUGAUCAGAGAACCUUAUAUUGGGAUGUGAUGUUGGAGAACUUUAGAAACCUCAUCUCAGUGGGCCCUGAGACUCAAGGAGGCAGACCUGAGUUGUGAGGUAGUUGUUUGUCCCUAGCACCUUGUUCCCAGUUCUGUGUUGUUUCCCAUGAACAGGGAGUCCAGUAACCAAAACAAAAGUGAUCUUCAGGGCGGAGCAAGGACAGGAGCUGCAGGUGGUGGAGGGAGAGAACCCACAUUGGAGCC